CAUAAACGACUCUCGGCAACGGAUAUCUCGGCUCACGCAUCGAUGAAGAACGUAGCAAAAUGCGAUACUUGGUGUGAAUUGCAGAAUCCCGUGAACCAUCGAGUUUUUGAACGCAAGUUGCGCCCGAAGCCAUUCGGCCGAGGGCACGUCUGCCUGGGCGUCAC
rnacentral:rRNA from 6 species